rnacentral:rRNA from 1 species
AGAGUUUGAUCCUGGCUCAGGACGGACGCUGGCGGCGUGCUUAACACAUGCAAGUCGAACGGAAAGGCCCUUCGGGGUACUCGAGUGGCGAACGGGUGAGUAACACGUGGGUGAUCUGCCCUGCACUUUGGGAUAAGCCUGGGAAACUGGGUCUAAUACCGAAUAUGACCAUGCGCCUCCUGGUGUGUGGUGGAAAGCUUUUGCGGUGUGGGAUGGGCCCGCGGCCUAUCAGCUUGUUGGUGGGGUAACGGCCUACCAAGGCGACGACGGGUAGCCGGCCUGAGAGGGUGACCGGCCACACUGGGACUGAGGUACGGCCCAGACUCCUACGGGAGGCAGCAGUGGGGAAUAUUGCACAAUGGGCGCAAGCCUGAUGCAGCGACGCCGCGUGAGGGAUGACGGCCUUCGGGUUGUAAACCUCUUUCAGCACAGACGAAGCGCAAGUGACGGUAUGUGCAGAAGAAGGACCGGCCAACUACGUGCCAGCAGCCGCGGUAAUACGUAGGGUCCGAGCGUCGUCCGGAAUUACUGGGCGUAAAGAGCUCGUAGGUGGUUUGUCGCGUUGUUCGUGAAAACUCACAGCUUAACUGUGGGCGUGCGGGCGAUACGGGCAGACUAGAGUACUGCAGGGGAGACUGGAAUUCCUGGUGUAGCGGUGGAAUGCGCAGAUAUCAGGAGGAACACCGGUGGCGAAGGCGGGUCUCUGGGCAGUAACUGACGCUGAGGAGCGAAAGCGUGGGGAGCGAACAGGAUUAGAUACCCUGGUAGUCC